rnacentral:lncRNA from 1 species
CCAACAUUUGGAUAAACAUGUUUGAAUUCAAUUCGAAGCCUAUCACCGAAUUGUAUUCCAUUGUCAAAGCAGAAGUUUUUCCAUCCUCCAACAAUCUGGACAUUUUCAGAAGGAUUGGUUGGAUACCUUAAAUGUACCUUGGAACUGUUUGUUCCAGGUACUUCAAGAAUUAGGGUUUGCAAAUUGAAAUGACGAACAUAAGUUGAGAAGUCGUUGGGCAAAGUCUAUAAAACAAAAUUUGAAGAAUUAAACCAAUAUAAAUAAUAGAUAAUAAAUAUCAUAGACAUUUAAAAAAACCAAGUUCAGAUGUGAAAAAUGAAAUGACAACAUAAAAACUUACAAUUUGUGUUUCUCUGACAUGGUUGAAAUGGUUAAGAGUGAAUUCAAAGGUAUGCACACCAGCAUCUGUGUUG